UCCCGCUUACACGGGCAGUCUCUCAUGAGUUCCCACCUUUAAGUGCUGGCAACAUAAGACGAGGGUUGCGCUCGUUGGCGGACUUAACCGUACACCUCACGGCACGAGCUGACGACAGCCAUGCAACAAGUGUCUUCUGGUCUCCUUGUGAGAGAGGGACCUAUUUCUAGGCCUUUCCAUCGAUGUCAAGUCUGGGUAAGGUUCUUCGGUUAGUAUCGAAUUAAUCCACAUGCUCCACCGCUUGUGCGGGGUCCCGUCAAUUCAUUUGAGUUUCAACCUUGCGGCCGUACUCCCCAGGCGGGAUACUUAGUGCGUUAGCUGCGGCACAAGAGGGGUAGAUACCUCUUACGCCUAGUAUCCAUCGUUUAGGGCGUGGACUAC
rnacentral:misc_RNA from 1 species